CUACGUGCCAGCAGCCGCGGUAAUACGUAGGGCGCGAGCGUUGUCCGGAAUUAUUGGGCGUAAAGAGCUUGUAGGCGGUUUGUCGCGUCUGCUGUGAAAGGCCGGGGCUUAACUCCGUGUAUUGCAGUGGGUACGGGCAGACUAGAGUGCAGUAGGGGAGACUGGAAUUCCUGGUGUAGCGGUGGAAUGCGCAGAUAUCAGGAGGAACACCGAUGGCGAAGGCAGGUCUCUGGGCUGUAACUGACGCUGAGAAGCGAAAGCAUGGGGAGCGAACAGGAUUAGAUACCCUGGUAGUCCAUGCCGUAAACGUUGGGCACUAGGUGUGGGGGACAUUCCACGUUUUCCGCGCCGUAGCUAACGCAUUAAGUGCCCCGCCUGGGGAGUACGGCCGCAAGGCUAAAACUCAAAGAAAUUGACGGGGGCCCGCACAAGCGGCGGAGCAUGCGGAUUAAUUCGAUGCAACGCGAAGAACCUUACCAAGGCUUGACAU
rnacentral:rRNA from 1 species